rnacentral:ncRNA from 2 species
UGCCGGCGUCACGGGGGAAGCCGGUGGAAUUCCGGCGCUGUCGCGCAACGGUAAAAGCCCGAAUGCCCGCCCGGAA